GUGUCAGCCGCCGCGGUAAUACGAAGGGGGCUAGCGUUGCUCGGAAUCACUGGGCGUAAAGGGCGCGUAGGCGGCUUUUUAAGUCGGGGGUGAAAGCCUGUGGCUCAACCACAGAAUUGCCUUCGAUACUGGAAAGCUUGAGACCGGAAGAGGACAGCGGAACUGCGAGUGUAGAGGUGAAAUUCGUAGAUAUUCGCAAGAACACCAGUGGCGAAGGCGGCUGUCUGGUCCGGUUCUGACGCUGAGGCGCGAAAGCGUGGGGAGCAAACAGGAUUAGAUACCCUUGUAGUCC
rnacentral:rRNA from 1 species